UACAGAGGUCUCAAGCGUUGUUCGGAUUCAUUGGGCGUAAAGGGUGUGUAGGUGGCGCCGUAAGUCGGGUGUGAAAUCUCGGGGCUUAACUCCGAAACUGCAUUCGAUACUGCGGUGCUUGAGGACUGGAGAGGAGACUGGAAUUCAUGGUGUAGCAGUGAAAUGCGUAGAUAUCAGGAGGAAUACCGAUGGCGAAGGCAGGUCUCUGGGCUGACACUGACGCUCAUGCACGAAAGCGUGGGGAGCAAACAGG
rnacentral:rRNA from 1 species